rnacentral:rRNA from 1 species
CCUACGGGAGGCAGCAGUGAGGAAUAUUGGUCAAUGGACGAGAGUCUGAACCAGCCAAGUAGCGUGAAGGAUGACUGCCCUAUGGGUUGUAAACUUCUUUUAUAUGGGAAUAAAAUGUUCCACGUGUGGGAUUUUGUAUGUACCAUAUGAAUAAGGAUCGGCUAACUCCGUGCCAGCAGCCGCGGUAAUACGGAGGAUCCGAGCGUUAGCCGGAUUUAUUGGGUUUAAAGGGAGCGUAGGUGGAUUGUUAAGUCAGUUGUGAAAGUUUGCGGCUCAACCGUAAAAUUGCAGUUGAAACUGGCAGUCUUGAGUACAGUAGAGGUGGGCGGAAUUCGUGGUGUAGUGGUGAAAUGCUUAGAUAUCACGAAGAACUCCGAUUGCGAAGGCAGUUCACUGGACUGCAACUGACACUGAGGCUCGAAAGUGUGGGUAUCAAACAGGAUUAGAUACCCUUGUAGUC